rnacentral:rRNA from 1 species
CCUACGGGACGCAGCAGUGGGGAAUAUUGCACAAUGGGGGAAACCCUGAUGCAGCGACGCCGCGUGAGUGAAGAAGGAUUUCGGCUCGUAAAGCUCUAUCAACAGGGAAGAAAGAAAUGACGGUACCUGAAUAAGAAGCCCCGGCUAACUACGUGCCAGCAGCCGCGGUAAUACGUAGGGGGCAAGCGUUAUCCGGAAUUACUGGGUGUAAAGGGUGAGUAGGCGGCUGAGUAAGUC